rnacentral:rRNA from 1 species
GAUGAACGCUGGCGGCGUGCCUAAUACAUGCAAGUCGAGCGAACGGACGAGGAGCUUGCUUCUCUGAUGUUAGCGGCGGACGGGUGAGUAACACGUGGAUAACCUACCUAUAAGACUGGGAUAACUUCGGGAAACCGGAGCUAAUACCGGAUAAUAUUUUGAACCGCAUGGUUCAAAAGUGAAAGACGGUCUUGCUGUCACUUAUAGAUGGAUCCGCGCUGCAUUAGCUAGUUGGUAAGGUAACGGCUUACCAAGGCAACGAUGCAUAGCCGACCUGAGAGGGUGAUCGGCCACACUGGAACUGAGACACGGUCCAGACUCCUACGGGAGGCAGCAGUAGGGAAUCUUCCGCAAUGGGCGAAAGCCUGACGGAGCAACGCCGCGUGAGUGAUGAAGGUCUUCGGAUCGUAAAACUCUGUUAUUAGGGAAGAACACAUGUGUAAGUAACUGUGCACAUCUUGACGGUACCUAAUCAGAAAGCCACGGCUAACUACGUG